rnacentral:misc_RNA from 1 species
GGAAGUAAAAGUCGUAGCAAGGUUUCCGUUGGUGAACCAGCGGAAGGAUCAUUACAGAGAUCGUGCCCUUCGGGGUAGACCUCCCACCCUGUGUUAUUUACGUAUGUUGCUUUGGCGGGCCGCCUCCGGGCUCUCGGCUUCGGCCGAGGUGUGCCCGCCAGAGAACCCACAACCCUGUGUUUAGUGUCGUCUGAGUAUUAUCAAAUAAGUUAAAACUUUCAACAACGGAUCUCUUGGUUCUG